GACUCACCUUCUGACCUGGGGUAGGGGACAUGCACUGAAGCCUCCUGCGGGGAGGCACAGGGCUGGCGCUGGCGGGCUGGAGCUGCAGAGCCGAGCCUGGCUUCCAAGACCUAGUCUGGGGGCAGCCCCAGGUGGCUGCCGGGAGUGAGGGACUGAGGGAGGCGGGGCAGGUGUCAUCCAUCCGCUCAGAGUUAAGCCAAACCACAGCUCUCCCGGGAGAGACCUGUGAGUGACUCCCCAUGCUGGAGGGAGGCUUCUAGAGUAGCUGAUCUCACGUCCCUGGGGCGGGGGUUUUGGGGAGCAGUUGUCAGCUGGGUAUUUCUUAUGGUUUUCUAUGCCAAGAGAAGCUGGGUUGUGGCUGGCUUGAUGACCUUUCAGGAUGGUGGCUCUGUCAGGUUCCCUAGGGACAGCAGCAUCGCUGGGCCUGAGGAUGUGGGAAGCUGGGAGACAGCCUGAGGAGGAAGACUCCCCAGGAGAGCCUCGGACUGGGUGUUUUCUGGGGGCCUGGUCUCGGGCCCUUGGCCAGCAGGGCCAGGCUGGUCUCUGGAGGCUGUCCGGUCGUGCUCAGCCCGUGGCUAUUGUGGGGAAGCUGGUCUGUGUGCACCAUGGCUGCCCUGGGGGUGAUAUGGGGCUCCUGGAGCAGGGGUGGGGAGAUCAGGUGGGGGCCAGGUGGGGGUAUUGGCACUGGGGGGGGGGGGGGGAGCCGGCCCGGGCAGGUGAGAGCCCACUGCUGGCUUUCCCCACGGUUCCCACUCCCCUCCACUGGGUCCCAGCCCCUCCUCCAGGUGGGUGUUUGGGGGAGCCCUUGGAAGUCCUGUGCUGCUGACCCCUGUACCUGGGGGGAGGCACAGGGCUGGCGCUGGUGGGCUGGAGCUGCAGAGCGGCUCUGCCCACAGCUGGGCAGUCCCACAAAAGUGUUUGCUGCCUUCAGCAGCCUGGCGUCCGUCGAGGCCAGAGCCUGGGGGUGCCGGCUGAAGAAGGUGCGUACACCCCGAGAGACCCUUCCCUGGCAGUAGACACGCCUGCUGGGCGGAGCCCACUGCUGUCUGCUUGGGGGUGGAGGCAAGGAGUCCUCACACCAUGCCCAGCUCUGCGCACACGUGUGUGAGUGUGAACGCGAGUUUGUGAGCACACCUGUGUGGUGCUUGUUGGCUGUGCUUUAAAGGUACUGUCUGGGGUGCCCUGUCGGUGUUCUAUGUUCUGAUAAGGUGGCAAGGCCUGCUGUCACCGACGGGACUGCCUGAGCUCCUCUUCUCCUGCGUGCGCGACGUGGUGCCUGUCCGUCCCUGCCGCUAGCAUUUGAGGGGUGCACCUCCCGCCCCCUUCCUGGGGUAGCCGAGGCAGUGAAGGGCAGUUUCUCUGUUGCACUGCCCUUGAGGUGUUUGGCUGUGGCAGUUCCUCAUGCCCAAGUCAUCCCAGAGAUCAUCAGCUCCAUGCACAGGGCCCUUGCUGGCUUACGGGAGACCUGGUGUAUGGCCUGGAGGCCCUCGGGCCCAGGCCUGUGGUUCCAGAGUUCCGGGCAUGUGUUGCCCGCGCUGUUCCUGGGGGUCUUACUCUGAACACGUGUCCUGUGUCUGAGAGCUUGGCUUGGCUCCUGGGACUGACCCACGGGCACCUGGUGCUCCAGGUCACAGUGGUGGCCAGUGUUGGCCCUGGGCUUUGGGGCCGCUGUCAGCAGGGCGAGGCAGUGGCGGUGGUGCAGGAGCACGUCUCGUGUCUGUCUGGUUCACGGUGACACCGCUGCUUUGUGGUGAAGCUCUCCUAGGGCUUGUUCUCUUCCCACCGCCCUGGCCUGGGCGUGCUGGCUGGAACAGGCGGCCUUUUGUGGGAGGACUAGCUGCUGUGCGAGAGGGCCUCACCCCCUCCUCCUGGGCUCAGGGGAGGCGGGCUGGCACUCCUGAGUCUGCAGAUCUGGGUCGCGCUCUGGAGAGCCCUGAAGUGUCCCUGCAGGGCUGGGUGGGCCGCAGGCAGGGCCGGCCUUGCUGCUCUUCUGUCCCCGUCAGCGUGGCCUGGCGCCCGGGACGUUGCUGCCAUCCCGCAGUAGGGACACCUGAGCUCUCAGUCCCGCACAGGGCUGUCCUGAGCUGCUGGCCAGGCUGGCUCCUGUCCUCUUUUCUCGCCCCCAGGUGCGCUGAGCCAGGGCCUGCCCUAUGUCGCCUUCCUGGUCCCUGAGGCUGGGGAGGCUGUCCUUGCUAGGAUGCAGACGUGUGUCGCAUGGAGACGGAGCCCUGGGACACCGCCAGGGCUGUCAGCACCGUGCUACCGCCCACCGGCAACAGCAGUAGUAAUUGGGGACAGCACAGACCCAGCCAACCCCCGCCUCCCCAGCUCUGCUCACUCUUGGCCCUGAGUGUGCGGCAUGACCUGGACGUGGCUCGAAGGGCCCAGCGCAGUGGACACAGGUGGCCCCGGCCAGUGGCCUGAGGGGAGGUGGGGGCCUGGGCUUCUCUUAAAGCGCAGAAUGUUUUGUCUUUGCAUGACUUGCUGCCGAGUAAAGCCAGCCUUGACCUCAGACCCUGUUUGGGUUGAAACAGCUGGGUUUUGGGGUGCUGGUGUUUGCGUGGCCGUCAGCAUCUCUGCGAGGGUCUGCUCUCCUGGCUGUCUGCUCCAAGGACAGCGGCUCAGUCCCGCUCGACUUCUGGAGGCUGUGGCAGCACUGUCACCUGGGCCUUUGGGAAUCAGUGGCCAGUUUUCCUGAGCGAGUCUCCGAAGCGUUCUCCAGGCCUGGACGUCCAUCCUGCUGUUCUUCCUGCCCUUUCUUGUUCCUCCGCCGAAGAAGGGCUUCAGGCACCAGCCGGGACCCCUGCUCCUUCUGAGCUGCCAGUGGUUUGUGGACAUGGUGCCCAGAGAUUACAAGUAAGCAGAGAGGCAGGCAGAGAGAGAGGGAGGGAAGCAGGCUCCCCGCUGAGCAGAGAGCCUGAUGCGGGGCUCGAUCCCAGGAUCCUGAGAUCAUGACCUGAGCCGAAGGCAGAGGCUUAACCCACUGAGCCACCCAGGCGCCCCUAAAUAAAUCUUUUAAAACAAAAUUGAUGUCUUGCUGCUGGAGUUGGGAGUGAGGAUGGUGUGAGGGUGUAGGAGGGGCGCGCGCCCCUGUUCCGGAGCCGGGACUCUAUCCAACAGGGCGUGUGCCUUGCCCGGGAACCACGCCCGGUCACAGCGGGCCUGCUUUUGGCAGGGCUCUUUAAAGUGGGGUUCUGGAGCCCCUGGGGGCUCAGUCAGUUACGGGACUGCCCUUGGCUCAGGUGGUGAUCUCAGUGUCCAGGCUCGAGCCCUGUGUCGGGCUCCCUGCUCAGUGGGGGGUCCGCUUCCCCCUCGGCUCUCCUCCCCCCCUCGUGCUCGCUCUCUCCCCACCCCCAAUAAGUAAGUAAAAUCUGAAAAAGAAAUGGAAGGCUUGUGGCAGAGCCAGAAGUCUCCUUGCCGGAGCGGGGAAUGACCAAGGGUCCUCUGCUGCCCCCGUGAGCCCACUCUCGGGCUGGUCAGGCCCUGCCCUGCGAGAUGCUGUCUGGCAGAAAAGGCCUGUUGUCUGUCCCCCCUUCAGUCCCUGCCGCCCACCCACAGAAGCCUUGUCUUUUCCGGUGCAGGGACCAGUUGCACUCCAGCCGUGGCCGUCUUGCCCUUGGGAAUCAGGGCCUUGCUGGCCCCGGGCUAGGGUGGCCGGCCGGCACCUCUCGGCCGACAGCA